UAGGACAAAGCUAUUUUGGGUUAUGUCUUAGAAUUUUCUUUAGUAGUUUUCUUGUGUAGUUUUUAUUGUUUUUUUUUAUUUUGUGUUCUUUGUGAUUUGCAUUUUAUUUGUUGAUUUUUUUGUGAGUGUUAGAAAUUGCUUGCUAGUAUGUUUGCUUAUGUGAAUACUAUGUUUUACUAUAUAGAUUUUCAACGGAAUGACGAAUAGUUCUACCAAGUCAUUAUUCUGAGAGCGUUAUUAUCUUCAUCAAACAUUACCAGGCAAGUUCACUUUGACCAUGUUUUUCAUACCUAUGUUUUUAUUGCAUUUAGUGUCAUCUUUCAACAGUCCCUCCAGUAGUGAUAUUGAAUUCUUGUAGUUGAGUAGUAUGCAUGAGGUAGGAACCCAUCACCCUGUUACCAAGCCCGGGACGUUAUUUAUUUUAAUGCUACGCUAUAGUAGACGGGGUUUGGUAUGAGUGCACGAGAGUGGUGUGAAGAAGGAGGACUCUACGUCAAUGACGACAACUCCAUGAUGGCAUAUGCGAGGACUGCAUCUUCAAGGCCUUAAGACUUCAAGACUCGAGACAAGAAUUCAAUACACACUACUGGGUGAAGGACGGUUGACGGGCACCCUGGAGAAACCAGUGGAUGGCCGGGAUGCAUGGAGAAGCGCCAUGACAUCUUGCGGAAAGCUUCACCCAGACUCAAAGAGACGGAAGAAUACUUCAUGCCAGGAAGCUUACCUGUGCAACCGCAAGUCACUAUGGGCUCUGGCUUGGUUGACCUUAGUUGUGACUCUGGCUGGGACGGUGCUAGCAGAUGUAGAACGACGGUAGGAUUGGAUGAGCACCGGACAGUGGUCAGGGGAACUCUUUGGAAGACCAUGUUUCGGUCGUCUUGUUCUCAAACACCCUAAAGUGCGAGAACGUAAAAAGAGGGAUCGAAUCUUGCGGGUAAAGUGUACAAACCUCUGCAGAGGGUUAAAACCUAAUCGAUUAGCUGUGUCCCCGGUUACGGACAAUUUGAGCCUCUGGACUUGGAUUUAUCUCGGAACUCUCAACACCAGACUGAUAAGGGCAAGUUAUGAUGAUUUUGGGCUAUGAGACAUCGGUUGGCGGAACCAUGUCAUGAUAGAAAACUCCGUAGUGCAGACUCCUGAUGUUCCUUUGUUAUAGGAAAAUAAAACCAGCUUUUACGCAAACAAAACUCAGAUACAGAGCCACAAAGCCAUAUUGCAUAUAGUAUAGUUUAUCAUCUGUUUUUCUUACAGUGAUCUUGCCGGUACAUUCAAUGUACUGACCUACACGGCUGCAACGUAUCAUGUUGCAGGAUUUUCUUCGACGAGUAAGAGUUACGAUACAGGGUUACGGUCUACACUCAACUUGCCGAUGGCAUUGAUGGGACUCCACCCCCGUUUAAUUGUUUCCGCUGAGUAUUAUGAGGUAUAUAUCAGUUUUACGUUAUUUAUACAUGUGAUUGCACUUUGAUAUAUACAUUGGUGUACUCUGUGUGCCAGCAUACUGAUCCAGGGAUGGCACAGAUACACAGAGACUUGACCGUCUGAGGUCAGGUCGCUACAGAGAUGGUAUCAGAGCACAUGUUGACUGUAGGACGUGACCCUAGAAAUCGGAAAGCCCUAGGACAGGAAAUCUCUAAGACUUUAUUUUUUAAAAGGACCCAUUUCUUCUCAUCUUUUCUAAUUUUUAUCAAAUAUCACCUCUUACCUCAAAUAGUUAGAAUAUACCCCUUUCCCUUUUAACCACCCGGAGGAUCAACUGAAGUCGCUUCAAGAAGGAUAAGAACACCGGACAAAUGAUGACCAAUUCAGAGUAAAGAGGAUUACACUAUAUAUUUCGGAGGAAAGAAGCUACAGCAGAUGAAGACUCUAAAGGCUUGAAGAAUUCAGAGACUCUGAAGAUUGAUUUGACCUUUAGAAGACCAAACCCCUGUUAUAUAUACUUACGUUAGAUACGACGAUUUGUGAGCUGUCAUUUGUAUGAUGUUUUUCCGACAGCUGCAAAUAAAACCUAUCUUCAAAACUAUUUUUUGUAUCAUGUGUAUCUUCCUCCAUUCUUCUCUCGUAUCUGAUCCCAAAACCUUUGGACCCAUAGAUGACGGAUUAUGUUGGACUGGUAUUCUCUGGACCGAUGACUCGGUUGGAGGUAGAGCGAUGGAUUCAAAACAUGGAGAGUCACUUAGGGGAAAAUUUGAUUGCAAGGAAGUAUGAGGUUCAAUAUGCUCUUCAGUAUUUUACCGAGAGUGCUGCAACCUUGUGGAAAAUGCAUCAAGCCAUACAAGGAUGCAACGGAGCAAAAACUUAGGAAUUCAAGAAGACUCUGUUGAGAUCUUGUCUUAUUCGGAAGAACUAUGAUAACCCGAAGAAGAAACCUUAUGCUUGCAAGAUUUGCGGAGAAAUAGGACACACCCAGGAGGAACACAAGGAUGGAUGCCCUCAUUGUGAGGAGAAUCACCCAGCUGAAGAAUGCCCGACUGGGCAGGUUACUUGUUUCCUGUGUGAAGGAGUUACUCAUUUCCUGGCUCAGUGCCAAAUUUACCCCAAGGUACAGGAAAUUACGAAGCAACAGAAAGAAGCCCUUAGGAAAUGUUUGGAAGAAUCCAUGAUGGAGGAAGUCAUUGCUAUUCAUGUGGAGAAGAAGGACAUUAUUCCCAGUAUUGCACGAAGGUAAGAGAAGAGUAUCUCGGAGACUUCCCGACAGUAGAAGUGAAGUUUGACCCUCGGGAAAUAGAUUCUCUGAUCAUUACGGAGAAAUCCAGGAAGAGGAAAUGAAGGCAUCCCCAGAACAACCCAAUUUCUGUAGAGAAGGACCUGAGUAAUAUCACUUGUUACAGGUGCAAGGAUUUAGAUCAUUACGCUGGUAAAUGUCCAGAGAAGAAGCCAAGAACCCAAAGAGUAGACGCCAUCUCCAAGAAGCCCAAAGACUUAUCAAAAGUUAUUUGUUUUCAUUGCAAGGAAGCAGGAAAUUAUGCUACUAAAUGUCCCGACAAGAUGAAAGCUGGAGCUGAGUAGUUGGAAUUUUGAUAUUGGUAGUAAGUGUAGUAGAAAGUAAUUUUAUUUUCAUGAGUUCGAUGAGUUGGAUUAUGUAAUGGAAGUCUCAGAGUUUGUAAUGGAUUCAUGAAUCAAUAAAGUUAAUGUGUUAUGAUUUCAUAUGUUGAAUUAUAUGAGUUGUUACUCCAUGAAGAAAGAGCUUUGACCAUUUUCGAGGAUAUGAGAAAAUAUGGUCCAUGGAAGAAUUUGUGCAUUUGAAGGGUUAGUACCCUAUGAGGACACUCACAAAUGGAAAGUAAAAUGUAUUCCGCAGAGUGGAGUCUGGACAAUAGGAGUAUGAGUUUUAUUCCGAUACAUUGAUUGCACUAAGAGUAUGAAGGAAUGAAGUAUUAUCGGAAUUAAAUGGAGGUGUAAUGUUGGAAUAUGGAACAAUAUAACUCAAAAGGAUGAGUUAAAGUUGUGCAACUAUUGAAGUGGGCCCACAACCCACAGGCCCAGGAGUUAAUAAGGAUCAAGCAAUACCUUGUUAAAAGAAGAAAUUUGGAAGAAGCUGUUAUUUGAUCAGCAGACGUUUCUUAGGAGGAUACUAUAACCCGAGAGUUGUGAAGAAACGUUAGAUGUCUUGUUUAGCUUGCAGAAAUAAUGGAUUUACCCGAACCCAGUUCAGCGACAAGAGAAAUUCUGCAAUGCUCGUGAGGAUGCCCAAGUGUUAGAAGACGUGAUUCACCGUUAGUGUAUGAAGUAAUGGUUCAAGUACGGGAUGGAUUGGCCCCCAUACCGAAGACUUCUAUCAUGAACUAUCAUAUGUUGAUGGAAAAUCAGAGAGACUCGAAAACCAUAGAAGAGUGUCAAUACGACAAGCCAAAAACCUUAGAAUGGUAGGAGGAUUGAUCCCUGUAAUAGGCAACCGUUGCCAAUCGUAGGUUAUACGGUGAGACUCAACCCCGACCAUUUUCCUGCAAGAGAAACCAUAAAUUGUUGACCACCAUGAGAUCUUGAUAGUUGUUUAGUAUUGGCGACAGACCCGUCAGAUAAGAAGACAGUCUCGGAAGAACCUCACCAAGAUGAAAGGACACGUGUUUGGAGAAGAGGUUAUGCCCUUACCGGACGAGCACAUGUGAAAAAGUUAUUCCGAAGAAUAUGAGAAGACCGACACCGUCAACCCAAAGGAUGGAGUACACGAGUUUUGUUGGAACCAUAACCCAACCUUUAAGUGUGGUAGCCCACUAGACCAUUCCGAUCAAUGGUAUUGCUGGAAGACCCCCCAAACCCUAACCUUUUCUUGCUAGCCUCUUCGAAUCUCGAGGACGAGAUUCAUUUUAAGUGUGGUAGGUUUGUAACAUACCAAAAUUCUAAAUUUUGGAAUGUUAUAUUAAAUAAAUUAUUAUGAUUGUUUGUUUGAUUGAUUGACUGGAAGUGAGUGAAAUUUGAAACUUUUGAAGUUGGAUGAGAGGGAACGAAAUGACUUUCCCAAACUUUCAUCCUUGCAUUUUAUCUCAAUGAAUUCAAAUUCAUUUCAACACAAAACCACAGAGUGAAGAUGACAUGACUUCUUCCAUUUGAAAUCCAAAGGGUUUUUGAAAAGAUUUGAAUUCCAUUUGGAAAUAUUUCAAAUUCUAAAAAACUUUAUGCAACUCAAUGAUUUUCAUGAGAGAAGAUAAAAUGACUUCUUCAAUUAUAUGAAAUAUGAGUUGGAAGUCAAGAAGAAUCAAAUUGAAAGUCAUUUGAAAGUAUUUUGAAACUCCCUUUCAAAUUUGGAAUUAUUUGGAUUUUAUUCAAAUUAUUUUUCUCCUAAAGAUAAAUAAAUGGAAAUAAGGGUAAAAUGAUUCCCUUCAAUGGAAAAUUAGGAGAAAAUAAAUUUGAAAUCAUUUUGGUAUUUUAAAAAUGAUUUUUCUUGGGUUUUAAUGCAACAGUAGCACUAUUUGCUUUAUUUGAAUUUUUGUAGAUUUUAUUUGCCUCUGAAAAUGUGUUCAUGUUUUAGAAAUUAUUUUUCUGAAACUUUUGAUAUAUUAUAUUCCUAUAUAAUAUUUUUAUUUAUUUAUUUGUCUUUGUUUUAUUUUCUGUGUUUUGUUAAAAAAGAAAAAAAAAGCAAACGGCCGAAGCCACCGAGGCCCAUCUCUUUGUCUCUCCCCUAGCUACCGAAUGGGCCAGCCCAACUCCCCAGCACCUGGCCCCCCUUGCGAAAACCCUUCGCGCAGGUCGCCCGCUCCCUCUCGCUCUUGCCCGCAGCCACUGACGCGUGGGGCCGGCCUUCUUCUUCCUCCCCACUCUAAGUCGCGCCGCCGCCGCCGGAAUCCCGAUCUUCUCGGGAUCACGAAUCCCCUCGCCCCCUCCUCCAAGAACUCCUCCCCCUAUAAAUACCCCUCUCCCUCGACCCGUUCCCCUCCUUUCCCCUCACCGAAACCCCUUGCCUCGCCCGUAAUCUCUCACCGGAGCCGAGCACCGCCGCCGCACCAUUGAUGCCCUAGAGCCCGCCUCCGACCUCCCCGAGACCCGCCGCCACCACCAUCGUGAUCCCCUCCCUCGACUACACCUUCCCAACAACUCGCCUGAGCCGCAAAACCACCGGAUUGCCAUCAUCGUUGAUCACCGACGCCAUCCGCCGCCUCGAGCUCACCGUCAACCACCUCCGACCAUCUCCUCCGACUCCACGACCACCGUUGGACUCGUCGUCGCCCGCUACAUCGCGCCGACCCCUCCAUCUUCAUCACGGACGACCGGAGCGCCACCGCCACCGACGUCCGAGCCGCCACCGCCGACGACGACCUCGCCGGAGACGCCACCACCGCUGUAAACAACCUCCACCGUCCGAUCUGUUAUUGACGGCAUAGAUUAGAUCUAACGAACGGUUACGUUUUUUUAAUUAAAUUGGUUUAGUUCCGGUUUGUUACGGUUUUUACUCGGUUUAGAUCGGUUCAAGUCUAGUCGUUUUAGCCGACCGGUCUUUCUGUUUUAGCCCGUACACGUUUGUGUUAUUUUACGACCGAGCGCUAGAUAGUUCAGAUCGCCCACCUCCCUGGCCCGAUAGCAGUAGGCCACGUAGCUAGUGCCCGAUUUUUUUGUUUUGAUUUUCGUUUCUGUUUUAAAAACAGAAUAGUUCUGAUUCUAUAUUGCUUAUAACUUUUAUGUUUUAGAUCCAAAUUUAGUGUUUCUUUUUCCAUUAGUUUUAUAAUUUCUUGAAGUUUCUGCUAGUGCAAUUGGAUUUCAUAUUUGAGUUGUUUAAAAUUGAAUUUGAUGAAAUUUGUUCAAAUCACCAAUUUGGUCGUAUCUUGAGUUUUAUAAAAUAUUUUUGAUUGAUUCUUUUUGCUACUGUUUUGUUAUAGUUUUGUCUAUCCAGUAGCAUAUAGUGAUUUAUUUUUAGUUUAUUUUAUAUUAAUUUUUAGCAAAACAGUACUGUUUUAGUUAUAGUUUUGUUUUAGUCUUUUCUUUAUUGUUUUUAUUAGUUUUAAAUUAUUUCUUUUUGUCACACUUGAAAAAAUUAGUUUAGUUUCUGUUAGUCAACAAGAGAAAAUUUUGUUUUUGUUUCAAAAAUUUAUUUUACUUAGUUUUGUAGGAAAACUUGUUUAGGUCAUAGUUAGUGUUUCAUAAAAACUUUUUAUUUGUUUCUUUUUGCUAUUAAAAGUUUAUGAAAAAUACUUUCUGUUAAAAUUAGUUGUGUUAUAUUUUCUUUUCUGUUUAUUUAUUAUGUUAGUAUUUUCUUUGUUGUUAAAUUUUAGUUAGGACAAAGCUAUUUUGGGUUAUGUCUUAGAAUUUUCUUUAGUAGUUUUCUUGUGUAGUUUUUAUUGGUUUUUUUUAUUUUGUGUUCUUUGUGAUUUGCAUUUUAUUUGUUGAUUUUAUUUGUGAGUGUUAGAAAUUGCUUGCUAGUAUGUUUGCUUAUGUGAAUACUAUGUUUUACUAUAUAGAUUUUGAACGGAAUGACGAAUAGUUCUACCAAGUCAUUAUUGUGAGAGCGUUAUUAUCUUCAUCAAAUAUUACCAGGCAAGUUCACUUUGACCAUGUUUUUCAUACCUAUGUUUUUAUUGCAUUUAGUGUCAUCUUUGCAACAGUCCCUCCAGUAGUGAUAUUGAAUUCUUGUAGUUGAGUAGUAUGCAUGAGGUAGGAACCCAUCACCCUGUUACCAAGCCCGGGACGUUAUUUAUUUUAAUGCUACGCUAUAGUAGACGGGGUUUGGUAUGAGUGCACGAGAGUGGUGUGAAGAAGGAGGACUCUACGUCAAUGACGACAACUCCAUGAUGGCAUAUGCGAGGACUGCAUCUUCAAGGCCUUAAGACUUCAAGACUUGAGACAAGAAUUCAAUACACACUACUGGGUGAAGGACGGUUGACGGGCACCCUGGAGAAACCAGUGGAUGGCCGGGAUGCAUGGAGAAGCGCCAUGACAUCUUGCGGAAAGCUUCACCCAGACUCAAAGAGACGGAAGAAUACUUCAUGCCCGGAAGCUUACCUGUGCAACCGCAAGUCACUAUGGGCUCUGGCUUGGUUGACCUUAGUUGUGACUCUGGCUGGGACGGUGCUAUCAGAUGUAGAACGAUG
rnacentral:lncRNA from 1 species